AUUGAACGCUGGCGGCAGGCCUAACACAUGCAAGUCGAGCGGCAGCGGAAAGUAGCUUGCUACUUUGCCGGCGAGCGGCGGACGGGUGAGUAAUGUCUGGGAAACUGCCUGAUGGAGGGGGAUAACUACUGGAAACGGUAGCUAAUACCGCAUGACCUCGAAAGAGCAAAGUGGGGGAUCUUCGGACCUCACGCCAUCGGAUGUGCCCAGAUGGGAUUAGCUAGUAGGUGAGGUAAUGGCUCACUAAGUUGACGAUCCCUAGCUGGUCUGAGAGGAUGACCAGCCACACUGGAACUGAGACACGGUCCAGACUCCUACGGGAGGCAGCAGUGGGGAAUAUUGCACAAUGGGCGCAAGCCUGAUGCAGCCAUGCCGCGUGUGUGAAGAAGGCCUUAGGGUUGUAAAGCACUUUCAGCGAGGAGGAAGGCACCAUACUUAAUACGUGUGGUGAUUGACGUUACUCGCAGAAGAAGCACCGGCUAACUCCGUGCCAGCAGCCGCGGUAAUACGGAGGGUGCAAGCGUUAAUCGGAAUUACUGGGCGUAAAGCGCACGCAGGCGGUUUGUUAAGUCAGAUGUGAAAUCCCCGCGCUUAACGUGGGAACUGCAUUUGAAACUGGCAAGCUAGAGUCUUGUAGAGGGGGGUAGAAUUCCAGGUGUAGCGGUGAAAUGCGUAGAGAUCUGGAGGAAUACCGGUGGCGAAGGCGGCCCCCUGGACAAAGACUGACGCUCAGGUGCGAAAGCGUGGGGAGCAAACAGG
rnacentral:rRNA from 1 species